UGGGGAAUUUUGGACAAUGGGCGCAAGCCUGAUCCAGCAAUGCCGCGUGCAGGAUGAAGGCCUUCGGGUUGUAAACUGCUUUUGUACGGAACGAAACGGCUCUGGUUAAUACCUGGGGCUAAUGACGGUACCGUAAGAAUAAGCACCGGCUAACUACGUGCCAGCAGCCGCGGUAAUACGUAGGGUGCGAGCGUUAAUCGGAAUUACUGGGCGUAAAGCGUGCGCAGGCGGUUAUGCAAGACAGAGGUGAAAUCCCCGGGCUCAACCUGGGAACUGCCUUUGUGACUGCAUAGCUAGAGUACGGUAGAGGGGGAUGGAAUUCCGCGUGUAGCAGUGAAAUGCGUAGAUAUGCGGAGGAACACCGAUGGCGAAGGCAAUCCCCUGGACCUGUACUGACGCUCAUGCACGAAAGCGUGGGGAGCAAACA
rnacentral:rRNA from 1 species